rnacentral:rRNA from 1 species
UGAGGAAUAUUGGUCAAUGGGCGGAAGCCUGAACCAGCCAAGUAGCGUGAGGGAUGACUGCCCUAUGGGUUGUAAACCUCUUUUAUAAGGGAAUAAAAUACGGGACGUGUCCUGUUUUGCAUGUACCUUAUGAAUAAGGACCGGCUAAUUCCGUGCCAGCAGCCGCGGUAAUACGGAAGGUCCGGGCGUUAUCCGGAUUUAUUGGGUUUAAAGGGAGCGUAGGUGGACUGUCAAGUCAGUUGUGAAAUCCGCGGGCUCAACCUGCGGCCUGCAGUUGAAACUGGCGGUCUUGAGUCCGUUCAGGGAUGCUGGAAUUCAUGGUGUAGCGGUGAAAUGCUCAGAUAUCAUGAAGAACUCCAAUCGCGAAGGCAGGCAUCCGGGCCGGAACUGACACUGAGGCUCGAAAGUGCGGGUAUCAAACAGGAUUAGAUACCCUGGUAGU